UGUGUGUCUCCAGAGGUCUCCUCUGU
rnacentral:piRNA from 1 species